ensembl:lncRNA
GCCGGAAAGAGUCGAGGCGCCUGAUUGGUUCCGCCGCACCUGCAAUGCGUCAAGCCGCGGAUUGCCAUGAGAAAUCUGUGGUGACCCAAGGACAAAAGAGCAGAUAAAACCAAGGAGGGUGUUGGAACCUCAGGAAAAACCAGACCCUUAUCGCCUUUCCCUCCCCCGUGUGUAACUACUAAGGAAACAGUAUCACCUGCCUCCCCUCCUACCCCACAGGGAGGAGGUAUCUGCCCUACUCUCCCCCCACCCAGUAUACCGGCCUCAUCGAGUCAGCAAAUGACCUGCAAGACCCCGUCCCACUCCUUGUACACUGGCUAUAAAAGUGGACCAAGGACCCCUUUCAACGUCGGUUCUCCCUUGAGCUGG